rnacentral:misc_RNA from 1 species
UUUCCGUAGGUGAACCUGCGGAAGGAUCAUUAUUGUAUAACCGAGGUGCGAGGGCUGUCGCUGACCCGAAAGGUCGUGCACGCCCGAGUGCCCUCACACACAUCCAUCUCACCCCUAUGUGCACCACCGCGUGGGUCCCCCUUUGGCUUGUUCGGAGGGGGGCUUACGUUUUCACACAAACUUUGUAUGCAGUGUAGAAUGUAUUUUUUGUUUUUGCGAUCACGCAAUCAAUACGACUUUCAACAACGGAUCUCUUGGCUCUCGCAUCGAGAAGAACGCAGC